AGCCUCGUAGUACAGUGGUCAAGUAUAAUGGGUUCUGGACCCGUUGACCCAGGUUCGAAUCCUGGCGAGGCUA
rnacentral:tRNA from 1 species